AAAACUUGUUCAAUUUUUUUUGUCGCGAACUAGUGUUUAACAACUUUUUCAGGCAUAGUGAUGGAGACAAGAAAAGUCAGAGAGUUCUGAAAAACUGCACCCCUCAUGAUUCAAAAUCUCUUGAAGUACUGAGAAUAGUUCCCGUGGUAGUAUACAUAAGGGAUAAAAAGGCAAAAUUCAAGUCCCUUUCAGAUGAUGUUGAAAUACAAAUUAAAGAAAAGUGUAAUUCCCAAUGUUUUAAUAAAACUCUGAGAGAAAACAUAUUUCAACAGAAACUUAGAAAAGAAUGCUGCAAUCUUGAAAGAAAAUGGUCUAAGAGACUCAAGAGUUUGCCUUUCGAAACUUUGGACAUGUAAAUGAACAAAAAAUAAAUAAAUACUGAACACUA